rnacentral:lncRNA from 1 species
AGAAUCCUGCAUUCUUCCAGAACUGUCACUAUGUGGCUGAGGCCCAUGGUUUGUUGGCAGCUUGCUCAGUAUCUGGAAUCAUUGCUGUAGUGGCACCUGAGUGCCUGUACUGCUCAGCAUGGUGAAACAAUUUCAUAACCCCCUGUGUGAGUAGGGUACCCUCAAAAUAUCUUCUCAACAGAAUUUUCCCUUCUACAUCUUUGGGCCUUCAGUGGGUGUGGUGUCACAAAUUCCUGAGAUGACCUCAAGGCAUCUUUCUUAGUACAUUUAGCAUAGUUUUAGGGGCUAUAAUUUUUUCAACAAGCAUACCUUUGGCCCCAGAUUUACAUGCACUUUUCUGGCCAAACUGCAAAUUUAAAAAAUCCCUUAGCUGUUUUCUACUCCUAUUUCUCACAAGAAACCUGGCUACCAUUUGCCAGCAAUAUCCAUGCCAUUGACCGGAUGCUGGGCUGCCUUGAAAUUUCAUCCACUGGAUUAAUUAUUCCAUCAUUUUUAAAUUCAGCCCCAAAGGGUCAGAACAUGAGCAAAAUGUAGAUAAGUUCUUCAUCAGAAUAUAACAGAAGUGGCCUCUAGUCCAAUUCCCAAUAGAAUCUUCAUUUCCCUCAUGAGCACAGUCUGCAUUCCCCUUGGGAUUCUGGUCUUUUGAACUCCCACCAGAAUCACCCAGUAAACUCUGCUGACAAAAUUCCAAAGGUUUUCUAGUUUACAUCUCUAAACUUUUCAAAAUACGUCUGAACCAUAUGGUCAGGUUAGUAAUAGCAAUGACCCCACUUCUUGGUACCAUUUUCUGUUUUAGUCAGAUUUUAAAA